rnacentral:rRNA from 1 species
GACGAACGCUGGCGGCGUGCCUAAUACAUGCAAGUAGAACGCUGAAGGAGGAGCUUGCUUCUCCGGAUGAGUUGCGAACGGGUGAGUAACGCGUAGGUAACCUGCCUGGUAGCGGGGGAUAACUAUUGGAAACGAUAGCUAAUACCGCAUAAGAGUAGAUGUCGCAUGACAUUUGCUUAAAAGGUGCAACUGCACCACUACCAGAUGGACCUGCGUUGUAUUAGCUAGUUGGUGAGGUAACGGCUCACCAAGGCAACGAUACAUAGCCGACCUGAGAGGGUGAUCGGCCACACUGGGACUGAGACACGGCCCAGACGCCUACGGGAGGCAGCAGUAGGGAAUCGUCGGCAAUGGACGGAAGUCUGACCGAGCAACGCCGCGUGAGUGAAGAAGGUUGUCGGAUCGUAAAGCUCUGUUGUAAGAGAAGAACGAGUGUGAGAGUGGAAAGUUCACAAUGUGACGGUAUCUUACCAGAAAGGGACGGCUAACUACGUG